rnacentral:rRNA from 1 species
AAUGAACGUUGGCGGCGUGGAUUAGGCAUGCAAGUCGAGCGAGAACCCGCAAGGGGGACAGCGGCAAACGGGGUAGUAAUGUGUCGGAACGUGCCCUCUGGACGGGGAUAGCGGCGGGAAACUGCCGGUAAUACCCGAUGAACUCGAGAGAGCAAAGGUGUGAUUCCGCCGGAGGAGCGGCCGACAUGGUAUUAGCUAGUUGGCGGGGUAACGGCCCACCAAGGCUGUGAUGCCUAGGGGAUGUGAGAGCAUGAUCCCCACCAUUGGGACUGAGACACUGCCCAGACACCUACGGGUGGCUGCAGUCGAGAAUCUUCGUCAAUGGGCGAAAGCCUGAACGAGCGACGCCGCGUGCGGGAUGAAGGCCCUUGGGUUGUAAACCGCUGUCGAGGGGGAUGAAGGUCUUCAGGUCCUCCUGAAGAUUUGACAGAGCCCUGGGGGAAGCACGGGCUAAGUUCGUGCCAGCCGCCGCAGUAAUAC